GGAAGGGCUGUGGCUCAGUCCAGGGCAUCAGCUUGGCAUGCAGAAGGUCUCAGGUUCGAUCCCCAGCAUUUCCA
rnacentral:tRNA from 1 species